GAAAGCCCUAUCUUCCACCUGCUUUGGAGGCUGGAGUGAUGUGGCUAAUGUAGAAAAGAGAUGAGGACUGGAAAUAUACAGCCCAGUGUGACCACUGUAGCCUCAUGGCUGCAGACAGCAGGAGAUCAGAUGGAGGAUGGGGUGAAUGAGGCAAUUGUUUUCCAACAUCUCAAGUUGAAAUUAUGACCCUGGUGAGAACCAUAUAUGUACUCAUACUUUAUGGGUACAAUGAUACUUUUAUUUAUUUUAAUGAGAUUUUCUUUUUCUCUCCUUCUCUCAAAACAUUUGACUAAGUUUGUAUAAAGAAGUAGGGUUAAUUUAUUUUGAGUGAGGACAAGGAAUCCAGCAUAAUAUUUUUUGAACCUUUGAAGGGCCAUGUCAUAUUUCUUUUCACCCUAUGCAUUCUCUUGGUUUCAAGCACCGCUGGCAUGUGUGUUAGUCCUGAGUCCACAUUCCUCUUGUGGGUACCACUGGUUGGAUAGCCAUCUUCACCUCCUUCUCCCACAGUAAUCUCAAACUCAAAAUAAUUUUUCUGUCUUGGGCUGAGUUUUCCAGAAAGUGGAGCCUGGGACAAAGACUUAUGUAUUGUCUUAGUCACAGUUCUCCAAAGAACAGAACCAAAAAGAUGUGUGUGUGUGUGUGUGUGUGUGUGUGUGUGUGUGUAUAAAUAUAUACAAAAUCUAUUGUAAGGAAUUGGUGCAUACAAUUAUAGAGACUGGCAAGUCCAGAAUCUGUAGGAUGGGUCAGCAGGCUGAAGGCCCAAGCAGAGUUGAUGUUGCAGCUUAAGUCUGACUGCCAUCUGCUGUCAAAUUCGCUUUUGCUUGAGGAAGGGCAGUCUUUUAUUAUAUUUAGUCCUUCAACCAAUUAGAUGAGGCCCACCCACAUUAUGGAGGGCAAUCUGUUUUGCCCAAAUCCGCUGGCUUUACUGUGAAUCUUAUUUAAGAAAUGCCUUCACAGAAACAUCCAGGAUAAUGUUUGACCACAUGUCUGGGUACCAUGACCCAGCCAAGUUGACACAUAAUAUUAACCUUCAUAUAUGUGAAUAUCUUAUGUAGGAAAGUGAUCUCAAGGAGAAGUGAGGGAAAAGGAGCAUGAAACAAGGAAGUGGGGAGAUCCAAAACAAUGAGGAAUUCCCAGGUUGGUCAUGGGAAACUGGCUGAUUCAGAGGCUGGGUGGAGGAGGCAUUUUUUUCCAUCAGAUCUCAGCCUCUACUGGUUACCUUGAAAGCAGAAAUCAUAUCCAGUCAUCUCUUCACAUGCACAUCACAGAAGUCUCAGCUUGAACCAAAAUAGGUGCUCAGGAGGAUAUUUGCAGAUGCGGUGCAGAAGGGACUAUGCUUGGACCAUUCAUGGAAGGACCUCCUACCUGAUACCCUGAUGCAGAAGGCUGGGGAAUGAUCACAUUAUGUCCUCUGGUUGAGUUUCAGAACAGGAGAGAAACUGAGUCCGAGGGAUGUCAACAUGCCAAGUCCAUGGAAAUAUCAGUGGGCUGGAAUUCUAGCUGCCUGAAAGAAGACAUUCCUCACACAAGACCUCACAAUCAUAUCCAUGGAAUUAUAGCACUGGGCUCUCCAGAUGGUGCUACAGGAAGACCUCCAGAAAUUUGACAAUCCUCUAUUCAAGGCCCUACCACAGAGACACACAGGAACGGAACUCAGAAUCACAAACAAAGAAACUUUGAUCCAAGAAAGAAAAUGAUCUUUAAAAAGACCCUCGUUUCAUGCUGGCCGAUGCUGAGAAAAUCUGCUCUGAAGGAUAUUUGGAGACACUGAUUAAAAGAUGGUUGUCCCAGUGGAGGGGGAUUCUUCGUGUUACGUAGAUAGGAAGCACGAUGCAAAAGUGUUGAAGCAGGAGUGUAAAGAAUAAUUAAAACACCUGCCCAAGACCCAAGCAAGGAUAGGAUUUCCCAGACAUUCGUGAGGGAGAAAAUGCCAUGUCCUUUCCUUCUGGUGUCACAUCAGAAUCUGAAGGCUGCUAGAGAAGGGAGAGAAACAUGAAAGUGAGUCCCAUGCUGAUUGUUGUUGAAAUACCUGGAAAGAAACUGGCAAAGACUAUCCAAGGGAUGCUAAGACAUGUCCGAACUUACAAAACAGUAGAACCUGAAUAGGAAUUUGAAGUUGUCUAUACUCUCCUCAGCCACACCCUGCCAUUUUACAGAUUGUCUUCUCUGGGGAAGUUAGCUGUCAUGUUGUGAGGAUACUCAAGCAGUUUAUAAAGAGGUUCAUGUCGCAAGGAAUGGAGGCCUCCUGCCAACAGCCAUGUAAAGGAGCCAUCUAGGAAAUAGAUUCUCCAGCCCCAGUCAGACCUUCAGAUGAUUACAGCCCCUACCAACCUUCUGACUGCGGUGGAAGGAAGGUUCCGGAACCAGAACCACCCAGGUUAAUGUGGGUAAGUCUCAUCCAAUCCUUUGAAGGCCUGAAGAACAAAGAGUGAGGUUUCUGGAAGAAGAAAAUUUUACCUCAAGCCUGCAAUGUAGAAAUUCUGCUUGAGUUUCCCGCCUGCUGGCCUGCCCUGUGGAAUUCGGAGUCAAGAAGGAGUCUUGUAAGCAUUAACUGAGAUAGUAUAUGAAGAGUGCUUUUGCACCGAGUGAACCUUCAAUCAACUGUACUAGUUUGUAUGCCUGGAAGAGCUGCUAUAUGGGAUCAGAAAGAAAAAUAAGGUGCAUACGCCAGAAAAAAAAUACUUGCAUAUGAGUACUAGGAGAUGCAUGACAAUGUUCACGGCAGCAGUAUUCAUGGCAGUGAAAAAUGAAAAGAACUGAAAUGCCCAUUGAUAAAAACGUCUACUUAUUUGUGUCAUCUUUGCACAGUGGAAUUGUGCGAGUGGAAAUGAUUGAUCUACAGCUAGGAGAAGCAGCAGAGCUCAAUCUCAAAAACAUAACGUUGUGUGGAAAAAGCUAACCUCAGAACACUUUGCGGCUCUAUCUUAGCAAACCAGGAGAGAAAUUCUCCUGAUGGCCUUGAAGAAGCAAACAGCCACCUGGUUAAGCCCCUGUGGAUAGUGCCAAGUGGCAGGAAAGUGGGAGCCACCUCUAGGACCUGAGGAUUAAAGUCAGUAAGAGCUGGGACCUCACUCAUGCAGACUCGAGGACAUGAAUUCGACCAACAACUUGAAUGAGCUUGGAAGUGGAUUCUUCCCUAGUCCAGUCUUCAGAAAUUAAGAAUGUUCCCAAAGAAUGAUGGAGACAUUUCAAAAGGAUACGGAAGCCAGAUUGUGGGCGCUUCUACUGGCCAACUCUGGGACAUCGUGGACAUCAAAAUAAAUUUGUAAUAAUAAAGGAUUAUAGCCUAUUAGUUAAAUCAGAAAAAUCUGAUUUAACUAAAUGAGUAGGAGGAAAAGAAAGCUCUUCCUUAUAUUAGAAAGUCAAUUAAUAAAUGCAGAAAGGAAUGAAAAAAUUAGAAAAGCCACCAUUUGGCAACCAUGGCAGGCAGAAUGGGGAGUAUGCCUCCAGACAGUAAUUCCUUUCAAACUGGUUUAUAGGAACUCACUGAGCUUGCUGAUCGACCUCUGAGAGGCAAAGUUUCUGAAUUAUGAAGUACUGAUUAUAUAAACUUAGACAGAGACAUGCUUCAUUAUUUAAUAGGACUGUGUCAAAAGCCUACUAUUAGGAUGAUGUGUUGGGUGUGGAACAGGGUCUCUUCCUGCCAGGAACACUGGUGAUUUCACUCCGUGUUCAGGCUGAUCUUUGAAGUUGAAGACAAGCAGAAGAAUCCUUCUAAAAUUUAGCCAUGCCCAUAGGCUGGGAGGGACACUGCUCCAUUCAGAGGCAGCAAAGCACAUUACUGUAUCUCCUAUAGAGCUUUGAGCAGUCCAGUGUACAUGGAGAAACUUAGUAAAUGUUGUUGAAUUAGUGAAUGAACAAAUCAAUGGACCAAGUCAGGGGUAAGUCUUACAUUUGUCAUCUAGGUGAUUAAGAAAGGAAAAAGUAUCUGUUUCAAGAGGAUUACAAUCUAACUGUAC
rnacentral:lncRNA from 1 species